UCCUUUUCUCUGCAGACAAGCUGAUUCUGUUGCAGAAGGGGGACCAUGUGGUCUGCUGCCUGGAAAAAAAGCCAUGGACCUGGAAUAGGCCUGUAUUUUACAGCAUAGCUGAGUGAUUGACUCACUGCUCUAACCUAGGGUUACGUUGCUUAACCUCAUGAGGCUUGUUGUCCGUCCAGCUGGAAAAUUCGUUACUGAACACCUUUUGGAAAUUCGGACAAAGAAAACCACAGCUUUUCUCACCAAGCUUGGACCCCCCAGAAUUUCCCUAAAGAAUUACAAAGCACGUGAUCCAGAAGCCCCUUCAAUGCCAGCUACGAUCCAUCCGGAAGAAGAGGAGCGAUUCUUAAGUUGACAGAAGUCAAGUCUUGGCAAGAGUAUGUCUCCUCCCUCUCACAGUGCUGAUAUCCUUCCUGGACCGAAACAGUGGCAGCAGCUUCCUUCUCUCAGGGUUAGCCUCACAGACUCCGGCGAGGCGCUAAGGGACCCAUGCAUUAGCCUGCAGCGCCACCUAGCAGACGCAGAGUGAACUUGGGAAAUAAGGAGAAAGCAGGUUUAGUUGGGGAAGUUGUUUUGUAACAUCGCAAAAGGGAGUUUCCAUUUCUUCAACGGGAGUUCUGGGAAAUGGGAUUUGUAUAAAAUCUUUUUUGCUCAGCGUGGAAAAACAUUUAUUUGAAGCUAAUGAGGGAAUUUUGCCCAAAGGCAAGUCUAAUCCAAACUUAGGGAGACAAGCAUUUGUUUCUCCAAACUUCACUCUCAUUUUUGGUCACCUCUGUGGCAGUGGAGAACUCGACUCCACUUUGUGAGAGACCAUGAAGUCAAUGACGAGCCAGUCUUCAUGCAAGGAGCUCUCAGAGGCUCAUGGGGAUGGCUAGCCUUGAUGGCUCUCUUGAUUAGGAUGAAUUGCCGAGGAGACCAGUAAAGCAUUUUGUUUUACUUCUGUGAAGGCGUUUUCAGAUAGGAUUGACUAAUGGGGAAAACUAAGUGUGUGUAGCACUGUAUGUAGGCUGGGAGCCCCGAGGGACUGAAAUUAGGAGGAGUCCCUCAUCCUCAGCCUGACUGCCAUGCUGUGCCAAUCCUGUUCUACCAUACCCUUCUGUCAAGAAGCUAUACCAGUCACGGACCCAGAAACACUGAAGGGGGCCCACCAGGAACUGAAAACAUAGGCCAAAACAACCCACACUCCCUCAUAUUGACCAUCCCCACCCCCAGCUACUUGUCACAGCAGCUAAAAGACAAGGGUAAAAGAUGAACGUAUUUGAAGCCUAUGUUUUUGACACUCAGCUCCUGAAGCUGACUGGGAAUCAGGCUAAACAAUAGACAAUCAGGAAUAGCUGACUAAUCAAAUGAUAAUUCGGGAUAACCAAUGGAUCAACCAUCAAUCAGGGAUAGCUGACCAGCUGGUAAUGACAAUCGAAGCUAUUUCCAUUGUGAUCAUUUUCAAAGCCCCACCCCACCCCUGAUUCAUGUCCGUGAACUUCCUAGAAUGGUCUCACAGGAACAAGAUAUUUUUCUUUUGUCUAACUUGAGAGCAAAGAGCCUAUCAUCCCAUGAACACUAGCAAC
rnacentral:lncRNA from 1 species